AAACCGGAGCUAAUACCGGAUAAUAUAUUGAACCGCAUGGUUCAAUAGUGAAAGACGGUUUUGCUGUCACUUAUAGAUGGAUCCGCGCCGCAUUAGCUAGUUGGUAAGGUAACGGCUUACCAAGGCAACGAUGCGUAGCCGACCUGAGAGGGUGAUCGGCCACACUGGAACUGAGACACAGUCCAG
rnacentral:rRNA from 1 species